UCUAAAUCUGAAAAUUUCAUAUGAAAAUGCUCAUUAUGACUCAAUUUUGUUUUUUUUUUAUUUCAAAGGUAUCUUUAUUGAGCCAUAUACCAGGAGCUGAGAGGAGCCUGGCCAGCACCACACAUGGUCAGAAAUAGAAAUCCUGAGCUCAGCCAGGAGUGAUGGAAGAGUUUUGGCUGGAUGGUGCACAAAAAGCUUUGUGCAGUCACAGAACAGUGAUAUGGAAGGAUGUCAUGCUUUGAGCUGAAUGCCAAGACUGAGCCAGAAGGGUUGGGAAGCGGAGGAGCAAUGCUCACCCCUGGAAUUGUGAGGUGUCUUUGCUGGAGAUUCUCAUGGGAGUAACUUAAAGAAUCAGACCCUCAGUUUAGAAAUUUUCCCAGGGAGGAGGAGAGGAGCAACACCUCAUCCCACCCUCCCGUGACUCCCAGCCUCUCUCUUCAAUCUUCCUCUCGCUCCUGGCCUGGCCUCUCCGUGCAGCUCCAGAGCUCUGGAUGUUACCAUCUGUUAUGAGUAGAAAAAGCUGCCAUUUUUUAAAAAAAGGUUGCAGAGUGAACAGGUUGGACCAGUUGCUGCCAGGGUGGAGUUCUAACUGUUUGUUAUUGUAAUCACUGGUCAUUUUUGUAAACUACCUGUCGCUGAUGGUUAAGAACCACCAUCCAUGUGGAUGACCCUUCUCGGAUGGUGAAAGGAGGGGACAUCGGAGGGCAUGCAAAUGACCUCGGAGCCAGCAUGCCAUGGGAAAGCCAGCCCACCAAACUCACCAAAAGACCCCAAAAGCAACAAGCCAACAC
rnacentral:lncRNA from 1 species